CCUACGGGAGGCAGCAGUGGGGAAUAUUGGGCAAUGGACGCAAGUCUUACCCAGCAAUGCCGCGUGAAGGAAGAAGGUCUUCGGAUUGUAAAGUUCUUUACUCGGGGACGAAAAAAAUGACGGUACCCGAGGAAUAAGCCACGGCUAACUACGUGCCAGCAGCCGCGGUAAUACGUAGGGGGCAAGCGUUGUUCGGAAUGACUGGGCGUAAAGGGUGUGUAGGCGGGGUAGCAAGUUAGAAGUGAAAUACCUUGGGCUUAACUCAGGUGCUGCUUCUAAAACUGUUAUACUUGAGUGCAGGAGAGGCAGGCGGAAUUCCUAGUGUAGCGGUGGAAUGCGUAGAUAGUAGGAGGAACACCAGUGGCGAAGGCGAUUUGCUGGACAGCAACUGACGCUGAGGCACGAAAGCGUGGGGAGCAAACAGGAUUAGAUACCCCAGUAGUC
rnacentral:rRNA from 1 species